GAAGCUUUAGUAUAGUAAGUAUAUUUCUUUUUCGUGGAAGUGGUUAAAGUUUUA
rnacentral:tRNA from 1 species